rnacentral:lncRNA from 1 species
UCCUGACUCUGAGUCCAGUGCCCUUUGUACCACAAUUCACUUAUUAUAUCUCUCUUCCCAUACCUGCAUUGUAUACCCAUCAGAGUCAACCUGGCUGCUUUACCAAGGGAGUUCUGGACCCCAUACUCUGAAAUUAUCUUCACUUCUACCAUCUACCCAAUCAAAAUCUGCACUCAGCAAGCUGUUGAACUUCUUUAAAGGAGUUGCUAAAUCAAUUCUUACUAAAUUUCAUCAUGGGCCAAAGAGUUUGUUAAUAUAAAGUAAGAAG